rnacentral:pre_miRNA from 1 species
CAACUACUCCCUCUGUCCCAAAUUUCUUGUCUUAGAUUUGUCUAGAUACGGAUGUAUCUAAUACUAAAAUGUGACUUGAUACAUNGGAUGUAUCUAAUACUAAAAUGUGACUUGAUACAUCCGUAUCUAGACAAAUCUAAGACAAGAAUUUUGGGACGGAGGGAGUACUUU